rnacentral:rRNA from 1 species
CCUAGUUGACCCUACUAGUAGUUAUAUGCUUGUCUCAAAGAUUAAACCAUGUAUGUGUAGGUAUGGACAAAUUCAGACUGUGAAACUACGAAUGACUCAUUAAAUCAGUUAUAGUUUGUUUGAUAGUACCUACUACUCUGAUAAUCAUAGUAAUUCUAGAGCUAAUAGGUACAACAAACCUCGACUUCUGGAAGGGAUGCAUUAAUUAGAUAAAAGGUCAAUGUGGGUUCUGCUUAUUGCUGUGAUGAUUCAUGAUAACUCGACGAAUCACAUUGCCAUUGUACUGACGAUGCAUCAUUCAAAUUUCUGUCCUAUCAACUUUCGAUGGUAAGAUAGUGGCCUACUAUGGUGGUGACGGGUGACGAAGAAUUAGGGUUUGAUUCUAGAAAGGGAGCCUAAGAAAUAGCUACCACAUCUAACGAAGGCAGCAGGCGUGCAAAUUAUGUAGUCCUGACAUGGGGAGGUAGUGACAAUAAAUAACAAUACCGGGCUCUAUGAGUAUGGUAAUUAGAAUGAGUACAAUUUAAAUCCUUUAACGAGGAUCCAUUGGAAGAAUGGUCUGGUGCUAGCAGCCGCGGUAAUUCCUGUUCCAAUAGCGUAUAUUUAAGUUCUUAUAGUUAAAAAGCUCAUAGUUGGAUUUUGGGAUGGGCAGACUGGUCCACCCUAGGUGUGCACCGAUCGUCUCGUCCCUUCUGUUGGCGAUGCACUCUGGCCUUAAUUGGCUAGGUCGUGCCUCCUACACUAUUAUUUUGAAGAAAUUAGAGUGUUCAAAGCAAUCCUACUCUUUAUGUAAAUUAGCAUGGGAUAAUAUUAUAGGAUUUCGGCCCUAUUACGUUAGCCUUCGGGAUCGAAGUAAUUAUUAUCAGGGAUAGUUGGGGGCAUUCGUAUUUCGUAGUCAGAGGUGAAAUUCUUGAAUUUAUAAAAGAUGAACAACUACAAAAGUAUUUGCCAAGGAUGUUUUCAUUAAUCAAGAUCAAAAGUUGGAAGCUCGAAGAUGAUCAGAUACCAUCCUAAUCUUUACCAUAAACGACGCCGAUCAGGGAUCGACAAAUGUUGCUUUUAGGACUCCACUAGCACCUUAUGAGAAAUUAAAGUUUUUGGAUUCCGGUGGGAGUAUGCUUGUGAGGCUGAAACAUAAAGGAAUUGACCGAAGGGAGCUACCAGGAGUGGAUCCAGUGGCUUAAUUUGACUUAACACAGGGAAACUUAUCAGAUAUAGACAUAGUAAGGAUUGACAGACUAAGAGCUCUUUUUUGAUUCUAUGGGUGGUGGUGUAUGGCCGUUCUUAGUUGUUAGAGCAAUUUGUCUAGUUAAUUUCUGUUAACGAAUGAGACAUCAGCCUACUAACUAACUAUAUGGAUGUAUCCCUUCAUGGCCAGCUUCUUAGAAGGACUACGGUCUUUUACGCCCCGGAAGUUUAACGCAAUAAUAGGUCUAUGAUGCCCUUAGAUUUUUUGGGUUGCAUGCACGCUACAAUGAUAUAUUCAAUGAGUUUUUCCCAAUAGGCCCAGGUAAUCUUUGAAAUUUCAUGGUGAUAGGGAUAGAUCAUUACAAUUAUUGGUCUUCAAUAAGGAAUUCCUAGUAAGCGUGAAUCAUCAGCUCGCGUUAACUACGUCCCUACCCUUUGUACACACCGCUCGUCGCUCCUACCGAUUAAAUUAUCUGGUGAAAUAUUCAAAUUGCGACAACGUGGGUGGUUCGCUACCUACAACAUCGUGAGAAGUCUAUUGAACCUUAUCAUUUAGAGAAAGGAUUAAUCAUUAUAAGGUUUCCGUAGGUGAACCUGCGGAAG